UACGUAGGGUGCUAGCGUUAUCCGGAUUUACUGGGCGUAAAGGGUGCGUAGGUGGUCUUUCAAGUCGGUGGUAAAAGGCUACGGCUCAACCGGAUUAAGCCGCCGAAACUGGAAGACUUGAGUGCAGGAGAGGAAAGUGGAAUUCCCAGUGUAGCGGUGAAAUGCGUAGAUAUUGAGAAGAACACCGGUAGCGAAGGCGGCUUCCUGGACUGAAACUGACACUCAGGCGCGAAAGCGUGGGUAGCAAACAGG
rnacentral:rRNA from 1 species